AAUUUUGGGCGCAAAGAAUCGAGAGGAGAGAGUUUUCUGGUGCGUAUGCGUGAUCUUCGUGGAAAAUGGCCAAUUACUUAGUUUAUGCAGGUAACAGACAUCCACGUGUGUUGCGUAAAACUGACCAACAACAGCAGUGAGAGCGAUGGUGACAUCCUGCGGGCCGUUACUCACCGUGGCGCCACAUUCGACUUUUUUGGAAGUGCGGGCUGAACAAACGUGCUGCAAUAAUACUAUUAUCAUAUGGCCAGCAGGUAGUGGUUUUGGUUCUUUUCAAGUCAUCUUGAGGAUAUGCCGAUAUAUAAAAACAGCGCGCGUCUCCGGGUUCAGUUCAUAAUCACACACACACGUAAUACGCAUUCCAUCGCAAUGUGGUAGACUGUAGAAAAACUGCGUGUUCCAGGCUUUGCCGCUUUUCAUCAAGAACGGGAUUUUCCUCAAACUUACCAUGCGGGUGGAACGGAAAAAAAAGGAAUUCGAUUAAAAUCGCAAUUUUCAAUGUCCCCCCGGUCAUGUUUUUAUCUGAUGGCGACGAGCAAUUCUUGGACGCGGUUUUGGAAUUAUUCACACCAGAGCCAGGAACCGUUCUUUUUUUUUUUUACUACUAGGUACUACUCAGGCAUUUUGUUAAAAGGAAAGCAAGAAUCGACAAAGAAUUUUAUUUCGUUUCUACCUGCGUCGUUGGAUGGCAAGAAACAUUUGACC